GCGGCCGGCUUCUCCGGAUCAAUUUCCCAGCGCUGCUGUCGCCCGGCAGACGCAAGAGGGAAGGCCAAGACGGCGGCUGGGCGCUGGCUCCUUCCUCAUCUGAUGGGAGUAAGAAUGAGAGAAGCAGAAAGAAAAGCCGGUGUGAAAGCCCUGAGGCCCAGGAGAGCCUCGCCCAGCUGAGUUGGAGGCCAGUGUCGCUGCAUUGGAGAGAGCCAAGGGAAGAGAGAUCAGUACGGUGUGGCCACACCUCGCAGAGCAUUAUAGACCAAGGAUUUUCUUUCCCCCUAAGGGCAGUGGACAGAAGAAACUGGUCCAGGGAGAUUUCGUGGGGUGCCAACGAUCACACAGCAAAGCAGAAACCAGAUCUGCCUUGGAUGGCGGACCUCCAGCCUCUUCACCUCAAGUUCCACCAUCAGCUGC